UCCCCAUAUCUCGGAUAUCUGAAUAGAUAGCUCUCUAAUUUUAUUGAGACUGUUUGAUGACAUUUCAUUCUUUACGUUUCCAGGAAACCGCUUGAGCCCUCGUAAAGGUGCUCCGUGCUUGGUCUGGCUGGAGGCGACUCCUGCUCCUGACAAUAAAUGUUAUCAUAAACAGAUCGAAACAUCGAUUCACUACAGGUUCCACUAAUGCCGAGGUAUUAAUCUCGGCGUCAUUGGAGGACAUAUCGACACUAAUUAAUAUCCGUUAAUAUCCGCGUGGGAACCGGCUCGGUCCAGUGGCGCUCGGGCUCGCUCAGCUUGAAUACUUUACACAGUCGAUGAAGCCUCCUGGCACGGGCGGGGAGUGGAUAUUGGUGACGAAGGUUGUAUAGAGCGACGUCGCACGGACGACGAUGAUUUAUAGAGGAGG